UGUAAGCGUAUACUGAAGUUGUUGCAGUUAAAACGCUCGUAGUCGGAAUUUGGCAGUUCCGGAUGUGUGCACGUCGUGUGCGCACUUCGCGGGGAUUGCUUUUGUGGUCUUGCGUAGGAUGAGGCACUUUUAUUAGUGAACGUCCUCACGCAACCACUUUUUACUGUGAGAAAAUCAGAGUGCUCAAAGCAGGCAUUUGCCGUGAAUGUAUUAGCAUGGAAUAAUAGAAUAGGACUUGGUUCUAUUUUGUUGGUUUGUUGGGACUGAGUAAUGAUUAAGAGGGACAGUUGGGGGCAUUUGUAUUUCGGUGCUAGAGGUGAAAUUCUUAGAUUACCGAAAGACAAACUGCUGCGAAAGCGUCUGCCAAGGAUGUUUUCAUUGA
rnacentral:rRNA from 1 species